UCCCUGGUGGUCUAGCGGCUAAGGAUCCUGCGCUGUCAGUGCUGCAGCCCAGGUUUGAUUCCUGGGCAGGGAA